UAGUAUAAUUUCAAGAUUUUUGUUCACGUAAAUAAAGUUAUAAUGAGUAACGGUUAGUUCUAAAUAUAAAUUAUAUUUAUUAUUAAAACUUACAUUGGAAGAAGUUAUACUGACCGUUUAAUAAAACGUUGACUACUGGCCGUUGCGUACCAUAGCCUUGUUAUUGAUCAUUAUAUAUUUAUUUACUUAUCAUCAAUUUUAAAUUAUCAGGAAACAAAUUUAUCGUAGGUACCAUAAUAAAUGUGUAAUAAAUAUAACAUUAUAAUGUUACAACCUUGUCACGGAUUAUUGGAAAAUGUUUGUGACAUCAAAUAGCAUUUGUUUUUAGUUUCUGAAAUAAAAUAAAAUUUGUUAUCAAGAUAUUUAACAAUUUUGAUUUUUCAUAUUACAAAAAAUAUUGUCUCGAUUAUGAGUUAUUAAAAGGAAUACAAUUCAAAGAAAAAAAAAACAGCUAAUACUGUUGAUGUAUGCACCACUGUUGUAGGUGGGAAGUUGGGAAUAUAGGAUCCAUAAAGUUGUUUAAUUUAUAUCUAUAAGCAACGAUAAAUCAUUACUAACGAAAAACGAUUCUGAGUGAAGUUUGUUUUUAAAUGAUAUGAUUUGAAAAGUGAUAUGAAAUUUGAUCUUAAAACCAUUAUAAAAAUACAAAUUUUUUUUUUAGAAAAAAAAACGCCGGGUGGGGGCACUUUUAACACAAUUGUCGAUUAUCCUUUUUCUAUAACUGUGAUAAUAAAACUGAUAAAUAAAAGUUGCAGGUAACACAAAAAAAAACUCCACACAGGUGAAGCCAGAAUAUUUACUUUGUAUGUCAUAUUAUGAUAAAAUGGUUAAAAAAAUUUGCGUUUCCGUGACAACAUUAAUUAUUUAAAAAAAAAAUAAAAUAAUAAAAACUUAAUAAUAACAAACAAUUUUUUUUUUUUUUUAAUUUUAAUUAUAAUACAUACAAUCUGUAAAUACUUUUUACAAUAAGCAUGUUUGAGGAAUUAUGGAAAAAAAAAAAAUAAAUAAAAUAAAAAUAAAAAAGGCGAGAUCGACAUGAGGAAGUAAUCACCCAGCGGCAACACUUACUGACUAUAGAGGGCUAUUAUAGGUCACGGUUCCAGUUACGUUUUAACCUUCUAGGUGGAUUACCUGGAAUGGAAUUGGAGUUUAGGGCACGGAUUAGUAGAUUAGAGUGGUUUGUAAGACGCGCGCGGAAAAGUCUAUAGGCAUUUUUGGCUUCUUCGUGGACAGUUAAAAUUUUUAAGUCUGAAUGUAAG